GCCUGCGCCUGCGCCUGCGCCGGGUUUGUCCGGUACGGCUGUGCCGCUCGGUGUGCACCGCUCCUCGGGACAGCGUGUGCCGGGGCCCUCCUCGGGAAAUAUUUCUUCCUUCUAUGGAAACCAACGAGCACCCGGGCCUGCACUCUUGAUAUAAAUACCCGGUGAUGACCGACUUAUUGCGGGCGACCGGGCGACGAAUCCACCGUUGGGACAGCACUGCCGGUGUCAGGCCGUUCUUCCUAGAAAGAAAGAAAAAAAAAAAUCUAAAAUCUUUAAGAUAUGUGUGGGAUCUGUUGAGUCACGGCCUGAACCACGGAUUGAUCACCUGUGGAAAGGACCCAGUCAGCCCUGAGAGCACAGGUGAAAGCAAUUCAUGUGUGCGAAUGGAAGGAGGGGAGCCUGGCUGCAGCUCUCUUAGAUCUCAUUUAAGGGCUGACUGCUGCUGGGGAGGAUCUUUGCCUGGUGGAUUUGCCACAAGGUUUCUUACAAUGACUAACAGUAGAAGGAAAUGUGCUCUGAAGGGGUGUGCUUGCAAGUCGGCUCAAGAGAAAUGAAAAUCGUUGUAGCGGGGACCCUGCCUGGGAGCAGAGCAUUACCAAAUACGUUACUAUGCAAAGAAUCUCAUGUUGAAUAAUUUAGAAAUACCUUUUUGUUAGUGGUCAAGUAAAACAUGGCAACAGAGGGUAAUCUCAGGAAAAAGAGGGGAUAAAAACAUCUCUAUCAAGCCCAGACUUGAUGGGAAAGGAAGAGCUGAACAAGUGUGCGUGUCUGGGGGUGUUCAUCUUCUAGACUGCACCCAGAGAAGGAGAAUGAUUGUGAUGCUGCAGUCUCGGAACUCCAGUCAGUACACAAAUGGAAGGAUUUCUGGGCUGAGAUGAAUUUAUCUCCGCAGCUUCUAAUCUUUUGGAUUUUGUGUUCUAGUGCAGUGAAGCUUUUGGGCAUGAUUUAUCAUCACUAUAGCUAACACUGUAUGGGAAAAAAACUGACUUUAGAUCUUACAUCAAAGCUUUUAACAAAGCUUGUUUCCCUGGAUUUUACUUGCUUUCCAUUGUCUCCACCUCUCUGGUGCCUCUUUAAAAUAUAUGCCUAAUC
ensembl:lncRNA